rnacentral:rRNA from 1 species
AUGUUACCUAAAAAACAUCUAUCUGGUUGUGAGAAAAGAAACAACAAGAAAAGAGUAGACAAGUUGAUUAAAUCUCAGGAAGGCGCUAUGGAUAUGUUUGUCUUGAGGACUGGUGCUGCUACAAAUUCAGAGCAAUUAUAUAUCACAAAUGGUGAAGAAAAACCUGAUGAUACUAAGAAUGCCGUUGAGGAAAAUCAUGUCGAGAAAAAUAAUGCUGCGGAAAAUGAUGCCGAUCAGCACACGGAAAAUAGCAGCGUCACCAGCUCAAGGUCCCCUCCGUCUCAGGUUCUAGACUUCCAGGAUCCUAGAACUUGGAAUAUUCUUGACAAUAAAUCAAGAGAUACUCUCAUUGAAAAAGGACCUAUAAGGGAAUACAAUCUUGUGUUUCCCGAAGAUGAAAUUACUGGCAGGCAUUUUUCAUAUGAUUACUACACAAGAAAGUUAAGGAAUGGCGAGUUCAGUGAUCGGAGGUGGUUAGUGUACUCUAAACACGUGAAUAAAGUCUACUGCUUUUGUUGCAAAUUGUUUAAAUCUGGAAAAAGCAAAAGUCUGCUAGCAUCCGAGGGAUUGAAGGAUUGGAGACAUCUUAGUGAGAAGCUCAAAUUGCAUGAGAAUAGUGUUGAGCAUAUCACUAACAUGAAUAUUUGGAAUGAGGUAAGGCUGAGGCUAAGUAAGAAGGAAACAAUUGAUAAAGACAUGCAACAAGAGAUUGCAAGGGAGAAGGAGCGAUGGAGACUUGUUUUAAUUAGAAUUGUUGCUGCUGUGAAAUUUCUUGCUAAACAUAGUCUGGCUUUUCGAGGAUCGAAUGAGAAAUUAUAUCAAGAUAACAACGGAAAUUUUUUGGGAGUAAUUGAAAUGAUGGCAGAAUUUGAUCCUGUAAUUCAAGAGCAUCUUCGGCGCAUUAAGAAUAGUGAAAUCCAUCAUCAUUAUCUUGGCCAUAAUAUUCAGAAUGAGUUAAUUUCCCUUCUUGGUUGCACUGUUAAAUAUUCUCUGUUGAGGAUAAUUAAGGGUGCAAGGUAUUUCUCUAUCAUCUUGGACUGUACACCUGACGUGGGCCAUCAAGAACAAAUGACUCUAAUUGUGAGGUGCGUAAACAUGUCAAGUACUACUACAAAAAUAGAGGAGUUUUUUCUGGAGUUCUUGAAGGUGGAUGAUACAUCCGGACUUGGACUUUAUAAUGUGUUAAUAGAUUCACUUAAAUCUGUUGGUUUGGAUGUUAAAGAUGUUCAUGGACAAGGGUAUGACAAUGGUUGGAACAUGAAGGGAAAACACCAAGGGGUACAGAGCAGACUACUUGAAACUAAUCCAAGAGCAUUAUUCAUGCCAUGCGCUUGUCAUAGCCUGAACCUUACUCUUAGUGAUAUGGAAAAAUCUUGCAAUAAAGCUGUUACCUUCUUUGGUGUUGUGCAAAGAAUUUAUAUAUUGUUUUCAAGCUCUACUAAAAGAUGGCAGCUAUUGCUUGAUCAUGUUUCAAAAAUGACAGUUAAGUCUUUGUGUAACACUCGAUGGAAGAGUCGAAUAAAGAGUGUUCAGGCUAUCAGAUAUCAAGCACCCGAGUUAAGAAAAGCAUUACUGGAAUUGAAGAGAACUUCUACCGAUGACGCCAAGACUAAGAGCAACGCAAAAUCUUUGGCUAGCGCACUUGAGAAAUUUGAAUUUUUACUUGGCAUGGUCAUUUGGCAUGACAUUUUGUUCACUGUAAACAUGGUGAGUAAGAAGUUGCAGUCUAAGUUUGUGUGCAUUGAUGCUACUCUUAAACAGAUUGAAGGUGCCAUCUCAUAUUUUAAGAAGUACAGAAAUGACGGCUUUGCAACUAGUCUGGAUAUUGCGAGAUCUAUUGCAAUUGACAUGGGUGUACAACCUUUGUUUCCUGUUAAGAGACGUAUUACUAGAAAAAGACACAAUGACGAAAAUAACUAG